rnacentral:rRNA from 1 species
UACGUAGGGUGCAAGCGUUGUCCGGAAUUAUUGGGCGUAAAGAGCUCGUAGGCGGUCUGUCGCGUCUGCUGUGAAAACCUGGGGCUUAACCCCGGGCCUGCAGUGGGUACGGGCAGACUAGAGUGUGGUAGGGGAGACUGGAAUUCCUGGUGUAGCGGUGAAAUGCGCGGAUAUCAGGAGGAACACCGGUGGCGAAGGCGGGUCUCUGGGGCCAUAACUGACGCUGAGGAGCGAAAGCGUGGGGAGCGAACAGG